rnacentral:rRNA from 1 species
UACGUAGGGUGCAAGCGUUAAUCGGAAUUACUGGGCGUAAAGCGUGCGCAGGCGGUUUUGUAAGUCUGUCGUGAAAUCCCCGGGCUCAACCUGGGGAAUUGCGAUGGAGACUGCAAGGCUAGAAUCUGGCAGAGGGGGGGUAGAAUUCCACGUGUAGCAGUGAAAUGCGUAGAGAUGUGGAGGAACACCGGUGGCGAAGG